rnacentral:rRNA from 1 species
AGCGUACACGGUGGAUGCCCUGGCAGUCAGAGGCGAUGAAGGACGUGCUAAUCUGCGAAAAGCGCCGGUAAGGUGAUAUGAACCGUUAUAGCCGGCGAUGUCCGAAUGGGGAAACCCAGUGUGUUUCGACACACUAUCAUUAACUGAAUCCAUAGGUUAAUGAGGCGAACCGGGGGAACUGAAACAUCUAAGUACCCCGAGGAAAAGAAAUCAACCGAGAUUCCCCCAGUAGCGGCGAGCGAACGGGGAGGAGCCCAGAGCCUGAAUCAGCAUGUGUGUUAGUGGAAGCGUCUGGAAAGGCGCGCGAUACAGGGUGACAGCCCCGUACACAAAAGCGCAUGUGCUGUGAGCUCGAUGAGUAGGGCGGGACACGUGGUAUCCUGUCUGAAUAUGGGGGGACCAUCCUCCAAGGCUAAAUACUCCUGACUGACCGAUAGUGAACCAGUACCGUGAGGGAAAGGCGAAAAGAACCCCGGCGAGGGGAGUGAAACAGAACCUGAAACCGUGUACGUACAAGCAGUGGGAGCCCCACCACUAAGCCAGUGGUGAGAACCCAUGACGCAUCCUUUGCUGAGGAUACGGUUAACGGAGCGAAAGCGACGUUCAACCGCAAAAGAAGCAGAGGGGGCUUAGUGGUGGGGUGACUGCGUACCUUUUGUAUAAUGGGUCAGCGACUUAUAUUCUGUAGCAAGGUUAACCGUAUAGGGGAGCCGGAGGGAAACCGAGUCUUAAUUGGGCGUUAAGUUGCAGGGUAUAGACCCGAAACCCGGUGAUCUAGCCAUGGGCAGGUUGAAGGUUGGGUAACACUAACUGGAGGACCGAACCGACUAAUGUUGAAAAAUUAGCGGAUGACCUGUGGCUGGGGGUGAAAGGCCAAUCAAACCGGGAGAUAGCUGGUUCUCCCCGAAAGCUAUUUAGGUAGCGCCUCGUGAAUUCAUCUCCGGGGGUAGAGCACUGUUUCGGCUAGGGGGCCAUCCCGGCUUACCAACCCGAUGCAAACUGCGAAUACCGGAGAAUGUUAUCACGGGAGACACACGGCGGGUGCUAACGUCCGUCGUGAAGAGGGAAACAACCCAGACCGCCAGCUAAGGUCCCAAAGUCAUGGUUAAGUGGGAAACGAUGUGGGAAGGCCCAGACAGCCAGGAUGUUGGCUUAGAAGCAGCCAUCAUUUAAAGAAAGCGUAAUAGCUCACUGGUCGAGUCGGCCUGCGCGGAAGAUGUAACGGGGCUAAACCAUGCACCGAAGCUGCGGCAGCGACACUUAAGUGUUGUUGGGUAGGGGAGCGUUCUGUAAGCCGUUGAAGGUGUGCUGUGAGGCAUGCUGGAGGUAUCAGAAGUGCGAAUGCUGACAUAAGUAACGAUAAAGCGGGUGAAAAGCCCGCUCGCCGGAAGACCAAGGGUUCCUGUCCAACGUUAAUCGGGGCAGGGUGAGUCGACCCCUAAGGCGAGGCCGAAAGGCGUAGUCGAUGGGAAACGGGUUAAUAUUCCCGUACUUGGUGUUACUGCGAAGGGGGGACGGAGAAGGCUAUGUUGGCCGGGCGACGGUUGUCCCGGUUUAAGCGUGUAGGCUGGUUUUCCAGGCAAAUCCGGAAAAUCAAGGCUGAGGCGUGACGACGAGGCACCACGGUGCUGAAGCAACAAAUGCCCUGCUUCCAGGAAAAGCCUCUAAGCAUCAGGUAACACGAAAUCGUACCCCAAACCGACACAGGUGGUCAGGUAGAGAAUACCAAGGCGCUUGAGAGAACUCGGGUGAAGGAACUAGGCAAAAUGGUGCCGUAACUUCGGGAGAAGGCACGCUGACACGUAGGUGAAGUGAUUUACUCAUGGAGCUGAAGUCAGUCGAAGAUACCAGCUGGCUGCAACUGUUUAUUAAAAACACAGCACUGUGCAAACACGAAAGUGGACGUAUACGGUGUGACGCCUGCCCGGUGCCGGAAGGUUAAUUGAUGGGGUUAUCCGUAAGGAGAAGCUCCUGAUCGAAGCCCCGGUAAACGGCGGCCGUAACUAUAACGGUCCUAAGGUAGCGAAAUUCCUUGUCGGGUAAGUUCCGACCUGCACGAAUGGCGUAAUGAUGGCCAGGCUGUCUCCACCCGAGACUCAGUGAAAUUGAACUCGCUGUGAAGAUGCAGUGUACCCGCGGCAAGACGGAAAGACCCCGUGAACCUUUACUAUAGCUUGACACUGAACAUUGAGCCUUGAUGUGUAGGAUAGGUGGGAGGCUUUGAAGCGUGGACGCCAGUCUGCGUGGAGCCAACCUUGAAAUACCACCCUUUAAUGUUUGAUGUUCUAACGUGGACCCGUUACCCGGGUUGCGGACAGUGUCUGGUGGGUAGUUUGACUGGGGCGGUCUCCUCCCAAAGAGUAACGGAGGAGCACGAAGGUUGGCUAAUCCUGGUCGGACAUCAGGAGGUUAGUGCAAUGGCAUAAGCCAGCUUGACUGCGAGCGUGACGGCGCGAGCAGGUGCGAAAGCAGGUCAUAGUGAUCCGGUGGUUCUGAAUGGAAGGGCCAUCGCUCAACGGAUAAAAGGUACUCCGGGGAUAACAGGCUGAUACCGCCCAAGAGUUCAUAUCGACGGCGGUGUUUGGCACCUCGAUGUCGGCUCAUCACAUCCUGGGGCUGAAGUAGGUCCCAAGGGUAUGGCUGUUCGCCAUUUAAAGUGGUACGCGAGCUGGGUUUAGAACGUCGUGAGACAGUUCGGUCCCUAUCUGCCGUGGGCGCUGGAGAACUGAGGGGGGCUGCUCCUAGUACGAGAGGACCGGAGUGGACGCAUCACUGGUGUUCGGGUUGUCAUGCCAAUGGCACUGCCCGGUAGCUAAAUGCGGAAGAGAUAAGUGCUGAAAGCAUCUAAGCACGAAACUUGCCCCGAGAUGAGUUCU